rnacentral:lncRNA from 1 species
UUUUUUUUUUUUUUGGCUAAGUUUUGCUCCAAAUCAAAGAAGCCAUUUAAAAUAGAGUUUCAGAUUUUUUGUUAUUUAUUUAUUUAUUUAUUUAUUUAUUUAUUUACGGCUUUUUAGGUCCCAGUCCUCUGGGAACUUCCAUAUGCCACAAGGGUGGCCCUAAAAAGCAAAAGCAAACAAACAAUGAGAUUGUCCAGAAGAGGAAUCAGUGCAUUGCUUCCUUCAUUAAGAAAGUCUUGCUCCUAGGAGCUCCCUAGUGGUUCAGCUGUUCAGGGUCCUGCAUUGUCACUGCCGAACUUCCGUAUGCUGUAGGUGCUCUUCCCCCCACCCCAAAAUAAAAACAAAGAAAUAAAGUCUUGCUCCUAGAAAAAGUCAAGUUAAUGCCAACAUGCAAAUAACCAACUCAGAUCUCCCAGUACCUUAUCUCUUAGCUAUUAACUAUUGAAAGACAGAAGAGUAUGAGUUUAGUAGAUGCAAACUAUUGCCUUUAGAAUGGAUAAGCAGUGAGAUCCUGCUGGACAGCACAGGAAACUAUAUCCAAUCCCUUGUGAUAGAGCAUGAUAGAAGAUUAUAUGAGAAAAAGAAUGUAUAUACAUGCAUAACUGGGUCACUUUGCUAUAUAGCAGAAGUGGACAGAACAUUGUAAAUCAACUAUAAUAAAACAAUUUUUUAAACUGUAUGUUUGUACAGCUUGGGCAAGCUUCUCCAUUCCUCUGUGCCUCGAGCCCUGGGGAUGAUGGAGCUGGGCCAGUGGAGAGGGAAAGUGUGAGCCAGGGGCUCAGUGGGUGAGGGGCAUAGCUAGGCAGAAGUGGUACAGGCUGACGGCUUCCUCAGACAGAUGCUUUCAGGUGGCUGGGGCUCCAGCAAGAGAAGAGGAGUAAUUACCACAAGGUCAGGUACCCAGGCCUUGGUGGCCCUGGUGGUGGGGGGGUGCAGUGGGUGUGGCUUUCAUUCAGGAGUUGCUGCAGGGGGAAAGCAUGGGUGUCCUCAGGCAUAGCCAAGGUUUUAUUUGAGUCAGGAAGGUAAAGGGAAGUUUAAGGAGAGAUCAGGGAUUAUGGGAGAGAGUCCAGAGGGACCCAACCAAGGAAAGGCAUGUGAGGGAGGUGAGGGGCUAGCCUUGGUUCUGCCAAGAAGAAGCUAUGGCUUUAUGAGCAAUUUGGAGGUGUGAGGCCAGAAAAAGAGGGAUGCCUCUGGAGGGUGCAGAGGACUUCCUGUGGUGAUUGAGGGAAACAGGAAGUGAGGCCUGUUGGGAUAAGUGCUGAGGCUCUCCUGGAAGAGAGGAGGAAAAAUUCUUAGCUCGAGAACGUGAUAGCUUCAAGGUUGUUCCCCUUACUCUCCACAUGGAGAAUCAUGCUGCUUUAUGGCCUACGUGCUCAAUAGGGUUGUUGUCAGUUAACUGAAAUGAUAAACAAAACAGUAUCUGGCUAUUGUUUUUAUUCUCAUUCAGCACAUUUUCCAACAAAUAUUUAGAUAGUACCAGCUGUGUGCAAACACUCUGAGGCCCUGGCAAGACUGUAAAUACAAACACAAAACUGUUAUCUGUGCCCCUGAGUGGCACAGAUUCACUUUAUUUAGAGAGUGCAUGGGCAAAAACCACCAUUAAUGUAAUCUGUUAUAUCCCAAAGUAACAAAUUAAUGCAAAAGGGCCCAUUUCUUCAAGAAAAGGUGCCUUUACCGUUUUCAGGGUUGGCAUGGGAAAACUGGUCUCAUCAAUUUUAGUUUUGAAGAGGGUGAAAUUGUGCCAUAGCUUUGUCAAUUUAUUUUCCACCAACUUUUUUUUUUUUAACUGCUUGGAAAGGAAGGAAGGAAAGAAGGAAGGAAGAGAGAGAGGGAGGGAGGGGGGAAGGAGGGAGGAGGAGAGGAGAGGCAAGAAAGAAAGAGAAAGAAAGGAAAGAAAGAAAGAAAGAAAGAAAGAAAGAAAGAGAAGAAGGAAAGAAAGAGGAGGAAAGGAGAAAGAAAAAGUGUAAACCAAAUGCAAAAAAAAAAGUUAAAUACUCACCUAAAUGUGCUUA